AACGAACGCUGGCGGCAGGCCUAACACAUGCAAGUCGAGCGCCCCAGCAAUGGGGAGGCGGCAGACGGGUGAGUAACGCGUGGGUAUCUACCUAGUGGUGCGGAAUAGCCCAGGGAAACUUGGAGUAAUACCGCAUAAGCCCGAAAGGGAAAGAUUUAUCGCCAUUAGAUGAGCCCGCGUUGGAUUAGCUAGUUGGUGGGGUAACGGCCCACCAAGGCGACGAUCCAUAGCUGGUCUGAGAGGAUGAUCAGCCACACUGGGACUGAGACACGGCCCAGACUCCUACGGGAGGCAGCAGUGGGGAAUAUUGGAC
rnacentral:rRNA from 1 species